AAAAAGACAAACCCUGGGUUUCCAUGUCCAACGUUUGACCGUCCAUUUUAUUUAAAAAAAUUAUAAAAAUAAAUUAAAAAGAUAAGUCACGCAUAAAAUAUUAAUCAUGUUUUAUCAUCUAACAACAAUGAAAAUACUUAUUAUAAAAAAAUUUCAUAUAAGACGAACAGUCAAACGUUGAGCAUGAAAACCUAGGGUUUGUCUUUUU
rnacentral:pre_miRNA from 1 species